AACGAACGCUGGCGGCAUGCCUAACACAUGCAAGUCGAACGAGACCUUCGGGUCUAGUGGCGCACGGGUGCGUAACGCGUGGGAACCUGCCCUUAGGUUCGGAAUAACUCCCCGAAAGGGGUGCUAAUACCGGAUAAUGUCUUCGGACCAAAGAUUUAUCGCCUUUGGAUGGGCCCGCGUUGGAUUAGCUAGUUGGUAGGGUAAAAGCCUACCAAGGCGACGAUCCAUAGCUGGUCUGAGAGGCUGAUCAGCCACACUGGGACUGAGACACGGCCCAGACUCCUACGGGAAGCAGCAGUGGGGAAUAUUGGACCAUGGGCGAAAGCCUGAUCCAGCAAUGCCGCGUGAGUGAUGAAGGCCUUAGGGUUGUAAAGCUCUUUUACCCGUGAUGAUAAUGACAGUACCGGGAGAAUAAGCUCCGGCUAACUCCGUG
rnacentral:rRNA from 1 species